AUUUCAAAAAGAAGUUACUUCUAUAGAAUGGGACCAGCCUUCAACUAAGAAACCAGUCACUAUAAAAUGCAAGGAUAAUUCUGUUUACGAUGCUGAUCAUGUCAUUGUUACUGUACCUUUGGGAGUCCUCAAAAAUAACACAAGAUUAUUUCAACCAGCCUUGCCCGAAUAUAAACUUAAAUGCAUAGAUAAUCUAGGUUUUGGCGUCGUUGAUAAAAUAUAUCUUCGAUUUGAGUCAAAUUGGUGGCUUCCUGAUUGGAAUGGCAUCAGAUUAUUAUGGACUGCUGAUGAUAAGGAGAAUGAAGAACAUAAGUGGCUUAUUGAUGUAUUUGGCUUUUUUACUGUUGAC